UCCCUCUCUUUAUAUUUCUGCGAGGGACAUGAGAUAAAAAUCAUCAGAGUGGCUGGAGGAAACGCAGAGGGUGUGAAGAGACAGACUACGGCGGAGAGACGAAGAUGUCUGGAGGGAUGACUUGAUGAAUUGAAAGCCAGCGAGGGAGGACAGACAGACACUACGCAGAAACUCUCUCCCAAUGGUAGUGUGCUCUGCCUUUGAUUAUCGGAGAAGACAGAGUGUCUGAAUUCAGCCACCAGGCCAUUAAUCUGCGACGGGCUCGGCGAGAUGAGGGAGCCUUCAGUGGCGACCCACGGGGAAUUAUCUGCUUGCUUCAGCCCACCACAGAGACCCACUGCUGAGCUCAGACCACAGCAAGAGAAACACACCCACCAACGGCCACCUGGGGCAGCGACUGUGGACACUGAUGUGGAGAGCAACCCGACUGAUGCAACACACAGUUUCUGAAUAUAUACUCGAAUCCCUGUUUCUUACUAGGGUGGACUUUAAACACACACAAAAAUACAUAAAGUGAACUUUAAUAAUAAGCAAACUAAUCUGCUGUUGAGACCGUAUGUUAUUGCAAAAAAUAACUUCUGACUUUGUAUUUUAGGAGAGCUAUUUGGGGUUUUGCUAUUUACUUCAAUACAAACAGUAUUCCUGGAGCCACCAUCUAGUGUCCAUUAGUGGUACUACACCAGAGAGUACUGUCGUAUUAGCUUAAGAUGUAGCUGUGUUGGUUCUUGAAUCAAAGCAAGGCAACAAUUUAAACAAAUCUGUUUCCUUUGCUGUUAGAUAAUCCUUAGGCAAUUUUAACAUCUGCACAAUACAUUGGAUUUUUCACUUUUUACUUUUAUAUUUCUUGACUAUCUUAUGUAAAACACUUUGAAUUACCCCGUGGAACUGCUUAAACAUGCUAUACAAAUUAAGUUGCAUUUAUCUUUUUCAUUUUUUCAAUCUUUAAACUGUCAAUUUGUUUUUUAUUUGAGCAUAGGUAUUUGAUCUUGACCUUUGUGUACUAAAUGUACAUCAUCCUAUAAAACUCAAAUUUAACAUUCAUCUUUAAAUUGUCAUGUGCAAUGGUAUCCUGUAUUACAUGGAUAUCUUUGGUCAUAUAUGAAUAUUGAUCAGUAUUCACUGUGUUAAUUACUAUUUCGGUGUUUGUGGGGAUAUAUAUGUUAAUUGUAACAUGGCUAUAUGGAAAUAAAUAGUUCUUUUGAUGUAAAACUCCCAGUAAACAUUUAAUAUAUAAACAAUAAACAUGACCAAAACACG